rnacentral:misc_RNA from 1 species
UCCGAGUUGACCCCGGCAGUCUCCCAUGAGUCCCCGCCAUUACGCGCUGGCAACAUGGAACGAGGGUUGCGCUCGUUGCGGGACUUAACCCAACAUCUCACGACACGAGCUGACGACAACCAUGCACCACCUGUAUACCGACCUUGCGGGGCCCCCGUCUCCGGGGGUUUCCGGUAUAUGUCGAGCCUUGGUAAGGUUCUUCGCGUUGCAUCGAAUUAAUCCGCAUGCUCCGCCGCUUGUGCGGGCCCCCGUCAAUUCCUUUGAGUUUCAGCCUUGCGGCCGUACUCCCCAGGCGGGGCACUUACUGCGUUAGCGACGGCACCGGGAGGGUCGCUCCCCCCGACGCCUAGUGCCCAUCGUUUACGGCGUGGACUAC